rnacentral:misc_RNA from 1 species
GAUGAAGAACGCAGCGAAAUGCGAUAAGUAGUGUGAAUUGCAGAAUUCAGUGAAUCAUCGAAUCUUUGAACGCACAUUGCGCCCCUUGGUAUACCAUGGGGCAUGCCUGUUCGAGCGUCAUUUGUACCUUCAAGCUUUGCUUGGUGUUGGGUGUUUGUCUCGCCUCCGCGUGUAGACUCGCCUCAAAACAAUUGGCAGCCGGCGUAUUGAUUUCGGAGCGCAGUACAUCUCGCGCUUUGCACUCACAACGACGACGUCCAAAAGUACAUUUUUACACUCUUGACCUCGGAUCAGGUAGGGAUACCCGCUGAACUUAAGCAUAUCAAUAAGCGGAGGA